AUAGUUUAUAAUAUUUAAUACGUUUUCAUGUUAAAUGGUCAAGAAAUAAAAAGAAAGAAUUACGAGGAUCGUUCGAAAGAAUUAAGAUUAGACGAUUGUUCAAUUAUGAACGACAACGUAAUGCGUUCUUUACGUAACGAAAAAAAAACGAAUCAUUGCAAUUUUAGAGGGAAUCGUAGAUUUUUAUAACGGAAAUAAAUCGUUGUGGAUUAUCUUUUAAAUGAUAUAACGCGCGAGGUCGAGGUUCAACUUGUAUAAAUUAAACGUCGAAAGAAUCAAAUGCUCGAUAAUGAAUUUGAUUUGCGCAUUUCUUCUUUUCUAUCUCGGUGAAUCAAAUUUGGACGAGAAGAUUACGAAGUUAUUAAAAUGGAGGUUAAGUUUUACGUUUCGAAAUUUCGUCUUUGGCUUCGAAGAUAAGUGUCGAGCUCAAAAAUUUCCAGUAAACACGUACCAAGUGUCCUCGGAAUUUCCUACGUAUUUUACGCAUAGACGAUCACACGAGUUCGACAAUUUCUACGAAGUGACGUAAGGGGAGGACAAUGCAUAUGUUGUGCCUUUCUAACCACAUCGGAGAAGAUGCAUUUAAAUGUCUAUAGCUACGUUAAGCAAUUCGAGGAGUAUCAAAGGAUUAGCCUCCAGGGUGUCGUGAACGCAACGCAUGCGGACGCAUGCUAGGAGAAACAUCGAAUAGCACGAAAAGCGUGCCUCAAACUCGCUUCUCGAGCUCGUUAUCGGGGAGGUGCGAGCUACUUCUUCUCCCUCUUUAGCGUUGCCACCUGAUUGCAUGGCAAACAUGAGCUACUCGAGUUAGCUCGUGCCAUCGGUUGUUAACACUUUCUUUAGACCGAUACUGUAGGAUCCUGCUCGACUUUGUCUACUUAAGAUGCGAUUAUUUCUCAUUUUUUCUUCUCUUUUUUUUUUUCAUCCAAAAUUUCGAUGCACCUACAAAUUAAUUUCUACAGAAUAUAGAUGCCGCGUACGUGCGCACACAGCGAAAGAUCUUUUAGGAUGGAAUGAUAAAAUAUUCCCGGCAUCGAAAUGAUCUUAAUUACACGAGAAGUCUUUACUCGCAAAGUCUACCGCAAUUAUCGCACAUCGACUAAUGCCCGAACAAACUACGGAGAGAUAUAAAAAAGUUGCGACUCUUAAGGUGUUUGCUCAGAUGACAUUUUCACCUCUUACGAGCAACUGCUUAAACAGGGUUUACUUGAGAAAAAUGAAUUUGCACAAACGAACGUCUGACGAAGGUAGAAGAACGAGUGACGUGGAUGGCUCUCCGUGUCCGCUCAUAUACUCUACCUGCGCCGAUCUGACGUCACGGGUUUCGUUUCUUAUCAGUAGUCAGGAGCGCCAACACCUGUAUAGCCAAGCACCUGUUCGUCGAAACCUUCGAUGAUCGCGCGACCGCGCCUGUUCUGCAGAUCGUCCACCCUACUUUUCUAAUUCAUCAUUAUCUUGAUGAUGGAUCUUUGGAUCUACAGUAACGACAGGUUUUAAAGUAUUCUUAAAUGAAUACAAAACGAAGGGUUGCUUUUCAAAUGACAUGAGAGAAACAUGGAACAUGUUCGUUCUUUUACAACAGUAUCACGUGUGGUUUUAUACGAUGCGUAAUGUCUUAUCUCGUGUCCUAGUUACAUCACUGCUACCCUGACUAUACAUACUAUAUAUACGCUAAUGAUACCUAUAAGGUAGAUCGAGAUCGAGUAAAGGAUCGCAUAAUGAUUUAAUGUUAAUUGUCAUUGAAUAUGUUAAAAGGAUAGAUUUUUUUUUAUUUAUUUCAAUAUUGAAUGAUAUGAAUUAUACGAAGGAAAGUAUAUGCGUGCGAAAAAGAUGGAUCGAACGUCUACAAAAAUUAUAACUAAAAAAGUUAACUUAGGAUAACGAAAAACAAUUCAAAGUUAUUAAUGUUAAAGAAUAUAGAAAUGUAUUAAAAUUA